UACGAAGGGGGCUAGCGUUGUUCGGAUUUACUGGGCGUAAAGCGCACGUAGGCGGAUCGUUAAGUGAGGGGUGAAAUCCCAGGGCUCAACCCUGGAACUGCCUUUCAUACUGGCGAUCUUGAGUCCGGAAGAGGUGAGUGGAACUCCUAGUGUAGAGGUGGAAUUCGUAGAUAUUAGGAAGAACACCAGUGGCGAAGGCGGACUCACUGGUCCGGUACUGACGCUGAGGUGCGAAAGCGUGGGGAGCAAACAGGG
rnacentral:rRNA from 1 species